rnacentral:rRNA from 1 species
AGCGAACGCUGGCGGCAUGCCUAACACAUGCAAGUCGCACGGGGGGGCUUCAGCCUCCCAGUGGCGGACGGGUGAGGAACGCGUAGGGACCUGUCGAGGGGUGGGGGAUAACCGCGGGAAACUGCGGCUAAUACCGCAUGACGCCGCGGCGUGACAGCCGGGGCCAAAGGCGAAAGCCGCCCGCCGAGGGGCCUGCGUCCGAUUAGCUGGUUGGCGGGGUAGCGGCCCACCAAGGCGUCGAUCGGUAGCUGGUCUGAGAGGGUGAUCAGCCACACCGGGACUGAGACACGGCCCGGACUCCUACGGGAGGCAGCAGUGGGGAAUAUUGGACAAUGGGCGCAAGCCUGAUCCAGCAAUGCCGCGUGGGUGAAGAAGGUCUUCGGAUUGUAAAGCCCUUUCGGCGGGGACGAUGGUGACGGUACCCGCAGAAGAAGCCCCGGCUAACUUCGUG